rnacentral:rRNA from 1 species
AGUGAACGCUGGCGGUAGGCCUAACACAUGCAAGUCGAACGGCAGCAGAGUAAGAGGUUGCUCUUACGGGUGGGUAGUGGGGGAGGGGGGAGGAAAACGUUGGAAUUUACGUUUUCGUGGGGGAGAACGUAGGGAAAAAUAAGCUAAUACGGCAGACGAACUGCGGUUGAAAGGAGGGGAGCUUGGGACCUUGGGCGGUGGAGUGAGGGGAUGUCGGAUUAGCUAGUUGUCGGUGUAAAGGCCCACCAAGGCGACGCUCCGUAACUGAUCUGAGAGGAUGAUUCGACACACUGGCACUGAGACACGUUCCAGACUCCUACGGGAGGAAGCAGUGGGGAAUAUUGGACGAUGGGGGCAAGCCUGAUCCAGCCAUACCGCGUGGGUCCAGAACCCCUUAGGGUUCGAAAGCCAUUUUGUUCGGAAAGAAAAGCAGCAGUUUAACCCCCCGCUGUUCUGACGGUACCCAAAGAAUAAGCACCGGCUAACUUCGUG